CUGGCGUUCAAGUUUCCGUGUUCCCAGCCGCUGGCAGGUUUGCCAGCUGCGCGAAUGCGGGGGACCGGAGGACCCUCCUGGGCUCACGCUGUGCUUGGAGAUGGAGCCGCUGAGGGCCGAGAUGUACUGAAGCAGAGCGGUGCUUCGAUAUAAACCGAAACACCUUCGUUACCCCCUGCCCAGCGAUCUUAUUACAGUAAUUGUUUCUGGUAGCGUCAGAUUCAUUGCAUUUUUGGAGAAGAUCUUAAGGUAUCCUCAAACCUAUGCCUAUGCCUUCUUCAGAUGAUCAACUAUCACGUCCUUCAGGAGAAUACAAGGCGAAACACUCCAGAAUUUUGUUUGGGACCCUUCUUGGACACGGCCUCUGUGAAUGAUGAAUAUAAGUGAAAAAGUACUCAUAAAAGAGUUCAGGAAUCUAGUCAGCUGAAUUUCCAGUGAUAAUCUCAAUUGCAAGAUCUAGUCACAAUUAUUUCCUUGGAUUUUAUCCAUGUUAUUGUUUAUUGCAUCUUUAAUUCUGGUCCUAUGAUAUGUAAAGUAUAAGGUGUUGUUUUGUCUUGUUUUGUUUUGUUUUUAAUUGCCCAGGUAAAGGUGUCUGUUCACUUUCGAACAGAUGGAACCCCUCAGGAUAAAUCAGCUACACUUGUACUUUUGUCUGAAAGUUAGGGCUGAGAGGGCACUAAGAAUUCCAGGAAGCCAAAAAUUUCUGAGUAAUGUAUGAAUCACAGAGAAGAAAUCUGCUGCCUUCUUUUCCUUGGAGGGAAUGUUAAAAACUGAUCCCUUUUGAUAACAUAACAAGGUCAAUAGGUUUUUGAAGCUUCAUUGCUUUGCCUUAACAUGUCUCUUGUCAUGGGGUAACAAAAGUAUUUAUGCCCAAGGACUGGCCAGGGAAAAGUGAGUCUCCACUCCCUGCUUAGAGUUUUUAAGCAGCUGGAACCGGUUGAUCCUGGCUCUCUGAGGUUCCCAGGUUGGCUGAACCUACCAAAGGAGGGACCAGGACUUGGAUUCCUCUUGCCUUCACAUACACCCUCAAAAUUUCAUAGAACUUCCUGUGUGUAUAGAAAAUUGGCUUAAAUGUUUGUCAAAUUAUUUGCAUCACCAAACUUAAUGUCUUCUCUUCCAACCUGCAUUAAUAAAUAGGCUUAGCUGCUUAGCA
rnacentral:lncRNA from 1 species